rnacentral:rRNA from 1 species
AACGAACGCUGGCGGCAGGCUUAACACAUGCAAGUCGAGCGAAGACUUCGGUCUUAGCGGCGGACGGGUGAGUAACGCGUGGGAACGUGCCCUUCUCUACGGAACAGUCCUGGGAAACUGGGUUUAAUACCGUAUACGCCCUUUUGGGGAAAGAUUUAUCGGAGAAGGAUCGGCCCGCGUUGGAUUAGGUAGUUGGUGGGGUAAUGGCCUACCAAGCCUACGAUCCAUAGCUGGUUUGAGAGGAUGAUCAGCCACACUGGGACUGAGACACGGCCCAGACUCCUACGGGAGGCAGCAGUGGGGAAUCUUAGACAAUGGGGGCAACCCUGAUCUAGCCAUGCCGCGUGAGUGAUGAAGGCCUUAGGGUUGUAAACCUCUUUCAGCACGGACGAAGCGCAAGUGACGGUACGUGCAGAAGAAGGACCGGCCAACUACGUGCCAGCCGCCGC